CACUUACAGGGACUUACCAAUUUGGGAUUCUUCCAGGAGCUGAAAACUGAUUGCAAAUAUGAAACAGAUUUCACUACAGGACUUGAACCCUACAUUAAAAAACAACAAGCUCCCCAAAAUAAUUGAAAAAGAUCUUCACCAAAGAGUAGCUGCAAUGUGAAUGGCAGGAUAUGAAGCAAGUAAGAGAUGGUGAAAAGAUUAUCUUAAGCUUGGAAUUAAGUGAUGAAAGGGACCUUCGAAAUUAUCAACUCUAAAUACUUCUUUACAGGAAAAUUGAAAGCAGUUAAGAACCUGCCCCCUACCGUGGAGUUCUUGGUGCCGUGAGUUGGAGUUCUUGGUGCCUGGGUGCGUCCCCAAGGCCACUGGUCUUCAGAUCUUUCUUACUUGAGAAGAACGCCUCCGCCUCCUGGCUCUCCCACCAGUGGUAUUGCCACCACCACACACCAGCAUAAAGCACAGAUUGCUGCCCAGCUCCUUGGAGAGGGGCCAGUGCAUUUGUCAGGAAUUGAAAAGUUUUGGAGCCAGUUCGAGGACUUUCUCCUGCACAAAGUGUUGGCUGGAAGCAUGAUUAUCUCACACAGAGCGUUGGAAUUACUUCAUGAUGAUUUCAAAGAAAAUUUUCUUCUCUAAACACUCUUAUCCCAAGGGCAUCCUAAAGUUCCUCUGGAAUGCAUUGGGUGGGAGAGAAAGUUCUAUGUCAACUCUUCUGGCAGAGGGAAAAGCUGACCGAGGAAGUCAAAAUGAAAGAAAGAAGCAGACAGGACUGAGGCUCCCUGAGAUGCAGAAACUGAGGCACAGAGCAAGGAUGUGCCACAGCAGAAGCAAGUUGUGUUGGCAGUAGGAAACAAGAUAAAGAGAAGAACUCAAAGAAUUGAGAGAAGGCUUUGAACAUGAUGAUGGAGAAAUAACACUCUUGGGAGAAAUGAAGAUACUUUCUCCUCCCUGGUUUACCUGAGUUUCCAGCACCCAGUGAUAAGAAAGGAUGGCAUUAGUGAUGUGUACACCUGCAGUGAUAGCUUCACCUUUCUAAAGCAGAUGCCGUGGUAGACAUUUUGCCAGCCCUCCUUUCACUAUACACACAGCUUGGUGUACGCUGGCAGACUUUUGACCUAAUUUCUUAACCCUCAAAUAUUCCAAGACAGAACAAAGCACACAACAAAACCAGAAUGAGGCCGGGCAAAGUGGCUCAUGCCCGUAAUCCCAGCACUUUGGGAGGCUAAGGGGUGGGCAGAUCACUUGAGGUCAGGAGUUUGAGACCAGCCUAGGCAACAUGGUGAAACCCAGUCUCUACUGAAAAUACAAAAAUCAGCCGGGUGUGGUGGCAAAUGCCUGUAAUCCCAGCUACUGGGGAGGCUGAGACACAAGAAUCACUUGAACCCAGGAGGGGGAGUUUGCAGUGAGCCGAGAUUGUGCCACUGCAUGCCAGUCUGAACAACAGAGCAAGACUCUGUCACAAAAACAAACAAAAAACUGAAUGAAUGGAAGCAGAUAAGUGCAGAGAGAAACACUGAUUUACCUUCAGAAAGAUAAAAAAGUAGUAUAUUGAUAUACUUGUAUAUUGCUAUCUACUAGUAUAGCUUCAGUUGGUGUAUGAGUAUAGAACUAUUGGGUUGUUCUUUAUGUGAUUACUCCUUCCCAGUUUUAGUAAAGUAUUCCAAUUUGAGGGAAAUUCUUUCAUUUGUCAAUAAAAUAAAAAGAGGUAAGUUUUAAAAUCUGUAUAGUUCUUCCUUCAUGCUAGUUGCCUCUCUUUUUGAUAUUUCUUCUAUAAAAAUCUUUUCUUACAUUCAGUUUUCAUUGUAUAGAUCAUGAAGGAACCAUAGUGAUUAUCAAAGAUCAGCCGAUAAGUUCAAGGCAGAGUUCCACCUUUCCCCAUGAAGCCCUUCCAGACUUGUUUACAUGUAACACCCUUGAAGGCAAGACUCAUGUCUAUGCUAUCUUUGCUGCUAUUUGGCACGUAUUAGGUGUAAGGGCAAUUAGACCAUAUCAAUUAAUGAUCAGUAAGAAUGGAUAAAGUAGAUGUUUUUGUGAGCCUCUCAAAGAAGAUGUAUAGAAUAUUUUGGAAAUGGGCCCAAUUUGUUUCUAAAGGAAAAUUUACUUUCAAAUUAAAAAAAAAAAAUCACUCAAAUGAGAUUUUGGGGGAUUUCAUAUGAUUAACUCUUUACAUUAUCUUGUGGUAAUUAUACAGAAAUCUGUAUUUAUGUAAACACAGUAAAUGCAUCAUAACACUAGAAUAAGUAUACAAAUACUGCAUGUCAAAUUAGGUUAUAAUCACUUUCAAGGGACGUGAUUUCCUAGCUAAACAGAUUCGUUUACAUUUUGCAAAAUAAAAAAUAAGUGAAAAUAACUAUAUAAAAUCAGGCUUACAGCUGGACAGAUCUUCUUGGCAAUGGUCCAGACACUGAGUAGGGAAAAGCCCCUCCAGCUGAGGAACGUUCAGGACGCUCAGGACGACUUUGCAGGCGCGGCCGGGAGAGAGGCCAUUUUUGGGGUUGCCUUGACUGUGCACCCUGUUCCUGGCUACCUAUGGGGAGAUAAGCUGCAUUCACAUAUCAGAUGAGACUCUUUUUGUGAGAGGUCUGGGGUGGGAUGUGGGAAGUGGAGUGAAAACCUGCUUAGUAGGGGAGGAAAAAAACAAGCAAUCCAACACUUCACCUUUAGGUAAUAAACAUAAUAGAAAAAGUCAGGAAUUCUCUAACUAAAAAGCAGACAGUGGAAGCUAGCAUCGGACUCACUGAAUUUUAGAAUCAGGGUCUGUGUACCAUGGAUUAUCUGGCCCUGCCCUUGUCACUGGAUGAGAAGAUUCUGGCUAUAGGGCAAGAAGCAGUGCUUGGACCGAGAUCCAGAAUGUUACCCUCAAAUCUGAAGCUUAUUUAUGAGAUAAAUAAAGCUCAUAUUUUCAAGAGAGAUAAUUAUUUUAAAACUUCUCAUUUCAAUGUGUACCUUAAAAAAAUAAAUACAUUUUGGGCCAGGUGCGAUGGUUCAUGCCUGUAAUCCCAGCACUUUGGGAGGCCGAGGUGGGCAGAUCAUGAGGUCAGUUUGAGACCAGCCUGGCCAACAUAGUGAAACUCCGUCUCUACUAAAAAUAAAAAUAAAAAAAUUAGCUGGGCAUAGUGGCACGUACCUGUAGUCCCAGCUACUUAGGAGGCUGAAGCAGGAGAAUCGCUUGAACCCAUGAGGCAGAGGUUGUGGUGAGCCCAAAUUGCGCCACUGCACUCCAGCCUGGGCAACAGAGCAAGACUCCAUCUCAAAAAACCAAUCAACCAACCAACCAACAAAAAACAUUUCACAUCUCCCUGACGUAGCCAACAUUUUCUCCAACAUUCUCUUAUUUUGAUGGCAGAAGGGCAUAACUGUAAAUCUCAGUUUUUAUAUGGUAUUGUAUAAUAUAGUGGCAUCCUUUGCGGCCAGUUGAUUGUGAAGAGCAGUUUGCCUUUACUUAGCUUCCAUGAACAUUAGCUUUAAAUGCUCAUUGACAUUAAUGAGAGCCAGUUUGCUAAAUCUGUGUCUCCUUCAUGUUCAUUUGCUACUUAGUUUUGUUGAUUCCAAGAAGUCACUAAUUUUUUUAAAUCAUAGAUUCUGAUUUCGAGGUAGCUUCAUUUUUCUAGUGUUGAGUAAAAUGUGUGUGUGUGUGUGCUUUAGUUUAAUUAAUACUAAUUUUUAUUCAAAAUAUAUUUGUUGAGCACUUACUCUCUGCUGUGGCUGGGCAUACAUUACUUUCUUUCCACAGUCCGUUGGUUGAAUUGUCCUGAGCAGGGGUUGACAAAUGAUGGCCUGUGAGCCAAAUCUACCCCACUGCCUGUUUUUGUAAAUAAAGCUUUAUCAGAACAU
rnacentral:lncRNA from 1 species